GAAUCUUCCGCAAUGGACGAAAGUCUGACGGAGCACGCCGCGUGAACGAUGAAGGCUUUCGGGUCGUAAAGUUCUGUUGUUAGGGAAGAACAAGUAUCGGAGUAACUGCCGGGUCCUUGGCGGGGCCUAACCGGAAAGCCCCGGGGGACUACGGGCCCGCCGCCGCGGUAA
rnacentral:rRNA from 1 species